UCCACGUAUAUAACAGUCCGAACGGACCCUACCCCCUUAGAAACCCCCUGCUCAUCUCGUAGAACCACUCAUCCCUGAUAAACUCUAGCGUCGCGGCCCUAAAAUUCCACCGCCUUUGGCCGACAGCGCCGUUGCGAAACGACCCCAAAGUAACAUCCUAAGACCUACUCCAUCUCCUCUUUACCAUUUUGUGCUCCAUUCUUAUCGAAUAUGUGUAGAAUGUGUCGAAUAUUGAAUCUGAGGUUGAGCCCUAGAGGCCGAAUGUUGACCAAUGCAUGCAAGGCUAUAUUCCUUAUUCCCCAUAAGAUUGAGGGCCGAUUUUAUCCCGAAAUAACAUCAUUUGCUUGUUCUUAACCAAGAACAAAAAAUUGGUGUUAUUUGGAGAUCUAAUCGGAGGUUCAAGCGAGUUCAAGGCUUGAAUUAGUGAGUCUCCUUAGCUGUUCUGUCCAAUUUUUCUUAUCUCAUCCCCAUUCCUCUUUGUUUAUGUUUUAUAUCCGUGACUGUUCCCCCUUCUCUUUCUUAUCAUUAAUUUUCCUUUACCCCAUAGUAUUUCCUAUUACUACUGAUUAAAUUACAUUUAUUUUGUUUUCUUUGUCUGAUUGUUGAUUUAUAGUGAAGAGUUCAAUGUCGAGUUGAGUAAUUAAAAUAAUUCAAGCUUAAAAUCAGAAAGUAAUUAUGUUUUCCCUGAAUUUUUGAUUUAUUAGUUUCUUUGGUUUAUUUGGUCACUUCUGAGUGUUUCAGGCCCUAAUGAGUAACUAUGGUCAUCUUUGACCUGGUUAAAGGGGCUGGUUAGUUAGAUUGUGGGUUAACCUAGCCUAAGGUAAUAAUGAACGGGUAAAAAACAGGGUUGUAGGGGUUAGUUUUGGGUAAUUGCUUAGGGGAAUGUUUGUAUAACUGAUUAAGAAGCUUCUUAGAAGUUAACUUUUGGGAUUGUUUUGAAACUCUGAAAACUAAAUGGGGAUAUCUAGGAAAAAAUGAAACCAUAGAAAGGGCCAAAAUGAAAAAUCUGAUUUCUCUAUUGUUGCCCUAUUGCCUUGCCUAUAAAGACAUCUUAUUAUUGCAUUUGGAGGGAUAUUUUUUUAAGGGAUAAAAUCCAGAAAAUACAAAAACGGGAAAAUUUUCUACAGUUCCAUUGAAUUUCAGUGAUUUUCUGAUUAUUUCAACUUCUGGAAACACUAGUGCUUCAUUAAUGGGAUUUGAGAUGAGUUGAUAUUAGUUUUGGAAAGCUUUUUUGGGUCAAGUUGUGUUGAAGUUUACUAUUCCAUUGGAUUUGGAACUGAUUUUGUGGUUUCAAUUACUAAAUUUCAGUUGUACUGUUGCUGGUGACAAUUUCUGCUGUUACUCUGUUGAUCCCUCACUUUUUCUUUUCCUAUUUCGAUCUCCAGGUAUAUAUCCCUGAUUUUAAACAUGUAAGCCAUUGUUCAUGAAGUGUCUUUGUUGAAGAAAAUGAAGAUUGUGUUUUCCUUUAUCAGAUGUUAUCUCUUCUUAGUUUCUUUACUGUAAUAGGACUAUUAUGUAGUAUAUGUUACUUUGGGUUUGUUUAAUUCUGAGGUUCUAUUGUUAUUAGAAGAGACCAUCAAUUUUAAUAUCCGUGAAUAUUGUUUUAAAAUGUAGAUUUUUAGAAUGUUCUGCUACCACAAAGUUACAAUAGUUGAGAUUGAGCAUGUGUUUAAAAGUUGAAGUCGUUCAAUUUUAUUUCUUUUGUUGGUUUAGUCUUGUUUGAGAAUGGGUAAGGGUUAAAAGGUGGUCCAGUUUGCAAAUUGUCAAUGUUUUUGGGAUGAUUUGGAUGGCUGUAAAAUCAAGCAUGUGUAGUUAUAGUUUGGUAUGAGAAUUUGAAUAAGGUCUAAAUUUAUAGCCUAUUCUAUUUGAGUAAUGAUCAACUGUUUGUGCUUAUUUAACUAGCUUCGAAAUAGUCUCUCAAAAGUCAGGGGUUUUGAAUAUGAGAUGUUUGAAGUCUUAUGCUGUAUUGUGUCGCUAUUAGAUUAAGCUAUUCCUAAUUAUGUCAAUGAUUACCAUAUAAAUGGAUCUUAUGGAAUUUUGUACUAAAAGCCCCGGUGUUAGGAUUUGGUUCCUUGAGGGCUCGAUCCUUGGGCAUAAUGAUCUGAUACCCGCUGCAACCUUUUCUCACAUUUGAGUUGGGCCCUCUAUUGGGGUCUGUUUUAGAGUCAUUUAACAGUCAGUAGGUUAGUUAAACCCGCAAUGAGUUAUUGGGCUCCCUUAGGCCCAGAUUUGAAGGAAGCAGACAUUUAUUUAUUUUUGUAGCAACUUAAUUUGAACUUGACAUUAAAGGCCCUUUGAAUAUCCCUAGUGUUAAUUAGUUAGACUAUUAACUAGUUGGGGCGCUUCAUAUUAAAUAACAUAAUUAUUUUAUGGCACUAACACAUUUAGCUUGAACUUUCUUUUAAAAAUUGGAAUUGAGGUGCGUCGUGUUAAACAAAAAUGAUAUUUGCACGGCCCUUGUUUAAUUAGUCUGGUUUUGAUCCUUAGAAAAUGAGGCAUGCCAUUUAACGAAUUUUUAUGUCCCUCGCAAAGUUGAAACGUGCUAGUUGCUUUAGGCGCGAUAAAUAAAAUUGUCGUGAUCACAGGUAUGGUUCACGUGGUGUAGUUGUGCUAUCUAAUUGGUUUUAAUAUGAAUAUUUGUAGUUCUUUUAUCUGAUUGCAUUUCCAUUAAAAGAAUCAAAGUGUGCCAUUAGUUGAAUUUUCCAUGGCCCUUGCAAACUUCAAAGUGCAUAGUUACUUUAGGCACGCUAUUGUAAAGUUUCCUUCCUAAACUCGGGUGCACAUUUAUGUGACACAAAUCCAACUCUCAACAAUUUUAUAUAGAGUGUGUUGUGGACCGUGGGUGCAUUUAUAUUACAUAGUUCAAGAUAUAUUUGAAAUAAUGUUGCCAAUCUUUAUUUUAAAAAUGAUUAAAAGCGGUUGAUAAAGCUGAAAAUGCACAUAAGUUAAAACAUGUAUUAAAAUCAGAUAAUAGGACAAAUUAUAACACUUGAUCGACUGUGCUAGAACCACGGAAUUCGAAAAUGUCGAACACCUUCUCCCAGGUUAACCAAAUUCUUUACGCGAAUUUCUGUGUUCGCGGUCUGUAAUACAGAGUCAUUCUUUUCCUCGAUUUGGGAUUCGAAUAGGUGACUUGGGACAUUAUAAAUUAUUCCAAGUGGCGACUCUAAAUUCCUUAUAUAAAUAAAUCCUAUUUCGAUUGUCCUUUAAUUGGAAAAACUCUCUUAUAUAUUCCCUUUACGGGAGUGUAGAAAAAAAAGUGACAGCUCUAGCGACUCUGCUGGGGAUCGAACCCAGAAUCUUUGGUUCAGGGUUCAAGAAUUCGAGCUUAGAGUAAUUAUUGUAUUUAGCUUUGUUUAUUAUCUGAUUUUAUUACAUGUUUAGACCUAAUGUGCUAAAUGUUAUUUUUUUCGACUUUGAUAUUAUCAGAACUAUAUAUAUAAAACUACUAUGAAACCCCUCUCUUCUCUCUCCUGAGGAGUGCACGCUGGUCGUGACUUCUUUUUGUUAGUGUCAUAUCCCGAAUAGAACGUGGUUCGGAUAAGUUGCAAAACUGGAUGAUCUUUUGGUUACCGGUACGCAGCCCCUCCAGGGCUUGAGUUGUCUACUCGGGUAAGCCAGGUCUAGAAUAAAUAAAACCAAGUUUUAAAACUUGUAUAACAAGACCUCAUGCCGGGUCCCUAGUAGGAACAUUUUUUUGCAUCAUUUGCAUUUUGACUUAGGAGACUCAAUACAGAGGUUGGGUCUGUCUAGGACAGGUAUACCAAAAACGAAAAAGACCAUCCUGAUGCAUCUUACUUGCUACUUGUGCAUUUAUUUGCUUCAAAUUUGUAUGAUGACCGGCUUUUGAAUAAAAAGAGAGAGUUUGGAAAAGAAAAUACAAGUGCGAGUGCUAAGGGAGGUAAUUAACCAUUGUGAAAACCAAUGUUCCAAAUUAUACUGAAACUCUGCCGAAAUUUUGGAAAAAACAACAUUUAUUAUUUUCAAAGAAAAAAGAUAAAAAAAAAGAGUUGUCUUUUUGUUUUGUCAAAAUUUCCCGAACUACGCUAGUUUGUUUCUCACCGAAUGUGGGAUACGUAGGCAACCCCCAUCGAGUCAAUAGCUCCAAAAAAAACAAAUUUUAUUUUUAUUUGGAAAUACGUAAGGUGAAGCCAUUCUUGUCGAAGUUAGACGAAUGUCCCCAAAAGGACAUCGGAAGGUUUCUUUUGCAAGAACAUCCACCUUUGGUCUCAUAUUUUACGAUAUUGUCGGUUAGCAAGCACAACCUUAAAAUCUUCACCCCGGAAGUGCUGAAAGGCCGUAUUUGCAAAGAUGGUUCUUUAUUUUGAAAUGAAAAUUUUGAAAAAAGAGGGAAAAAUAGUUUUAACUUUGUUUUUGAGUCAAAUGGUCUAAAUUUUGCUUAAUCACCCUAAUAAAUGUGCAGAAUGAGCACGAGUCAAAGUUUGCCAAUAACAGCCAUGAAUAUGAUCUCUUUGGAGUUGCAUAUGUGGUGGGAGGAUCUGGGUAAGUCAGAGCAAGAUAAGGUCAAUCAAUAGUUGGGAGGUAUCACCGGGUUGUUGAAGAUAAGACCUAGAAGAGACAUCAUAAAGGUGUUGGUUACGAUGUGGG
rnacentral:lncRNA from 1 species